rnacentral:rRNA from 1 species
UAGGUUGACUGCCGGUGACAAACCGGAGGAAGGUGGGGGAUGACGUCAAAUCAUCAUGCCCCUUAUGAUUUUGGGCUACACACGUGCUACAAUGGACAAUACAAAGGGCAGCUAAACCGCGAGGUCAUGCAAAUCCCAUAAAAGUUGUUCUCAGUUCGGAUUGUAGUCUGCAACUCGACUACAUGAAGCUGGAAUCGCUAGUAAUCGUAGAUCAGCAUGCUACGGUGAAAUACGUUCCCGGGUCUUGUACACACCGCCCGUCACACCACGAGAGUUUGUAACACCCGAAGCCGGUGGAGUAACCAUUUAUGGAGCUAGCCGUCGAAGGUGGGACAAAUGAUUGGGGUGAAGUCGUAACAAGGUAACCGUA